CUUGAAAGCCAAGGCUUCUGGGAAAGGACCUUUGACUGGAGGAGGAAUCAAGAAGUCUGGGAAGAAAUGAUUGUGUUUCUGUGUAUAUCUGCUUGCCGUUUAAACCACAGACUCAUGAUUUGGGUCCAAAGUGGUGACUAAAAUGAAUUAUUUUUUAGUUUAUAUUUCUCUCGUAAAGGAAUAAAGUUUGUAACGACUGUG